rnacentral:other from 1 species
GUAUUCCUGAGGUGUUGGCCAGUUUUCUGUUUUUACCCACAUUUCACUAAACGGAACCCGCGUCAUUGGAUGGAUGUCACGCCCCCGUGGCAACAUGUUAGGGGAAGACAAAAGUCUGGUGCAGGGAGCCGGCCUGCUUAACACAGCGGGUGAAAAAACAGGGGGCAGCGGCACCUCGGGGCCUUU